rnacentral:rRNA from 1 species
GGGGAAAAUUGGAACAAGGGCGCAAGACUUGUCCAGCCACCCCGCGUGGGGGGAGAAGGCGUUUGGGUUGUUAAGCCCCUUUGUUGGGGAAGAAAAACAGCCGGCCACUACCCAGUUUGUUCGUCGGUGUCAACAAGACAAACACCGCCCAAACACAUUGCCAGCAGCCGCGGUAAUACGAAGGGUGCAAGCGUUACUCGGAAUUACUGGGCGUAAAGCGUGCGUAGGUGGUGGUUUAAGUCCGUUGUGAAAGCCCUGGGCUCAACCUGGGAACUGCAGUGGAUACUGGAUCACUAGAGUGUGGCAGAGGGUAGUGGAAUUCCCGGUGUAGCAGUGAAAUGCGUAGAGAUCGGGAGGAACAUCAGUGGCGAAGGCGACUGCCUGGGCCAACACUGACACUGAGGCACGAAAGCGUUGGGAGCAAACA